rnacentral:rRNA from 1 species
AUUGAACGCUGGCGGCAUGCUUUACACAUGCAAGUCGAACGGUAACAGGCCGCAAGGUGCUGACGAGUGGCGAACGGGUGAGUAACGCGUGGGAACCUACCCAGCAGUUGGGGAUAACCGCGGGAAACUGCGGCUAAUACCGAAUACGUCCUAAGGGAGAAAGAUUUAUCGCUGUUGGAGGGGCCCGCGUCGGAUUAGCUAGUUGGUGAGGUAACGGCUCACCAAGGCGACGAUCCGUAGCUGGUCUGAGAGGAUGAUCAGCCACACUGGGACUUAGACACGGCCCAGACUCCUACGGGAGGCAGCAGUGGGGAAUAUUGGACAAUGGGGGCAACCCUGAUCCAGCAAUGCCGCGUGAGUGAUGAAGGCCUUAGGGUUGUAAAGCUCUUUUACCGGGGACGAUGAUGACGGUACCCGGAGAAUAAGCCCCGGCUAACUUCGUGCCAGCAGCCGCAGUAAGAC